rnacentral:rRNA from 1 species
UACGGAGGGUGCAAGCAUUAAUCGGAUUUAUUGGGCGUAAAGGGCGCGUAGGCGGAGAGAUAAGUCAGAUGUGAAAUCCCGGGGCUCAACCCCGGAACAGCAUUUGAAACUGUCUUCCUCGAGGAUAGGCGGAGAAAACGGAAUUCCACAAGUAGCGGUGAAAUGCGUAGAUAUGUGGAAGAACACCUGUGGCGAAAGCGGUUUUCUAGCUUAAUCCUGACGCUGAGGCGCGAAAGCAAGGGGAGCAAACAGG